GACGAACGCUGGCGGCGUGCUUAACACAUGCAAGUCGAGCGAACGGACCAGACGCUUGCUUCUCUGAUGUUGGCGGCGGACGGGAGAGUAACACGUGGAUAACCUACCUAUAAGACUGGGAUAACUUCGGGAAACCGGAGCUAAUACCGGAUAAUAUUCUGAACCGCAUGGUUCAAAAGUGAAAGACGGUCUUUCUGUCACUUAUAGAUGGAUCCGCGCUGGAUUAGCUAGUUGGUAAGGUAACGGCUUAGCAAGGCAACGAUGCAUAGCCGACCUGAGAGGGGGGUAGGCCACCCGGGAGGGGAGCCGGCGUCAAGACUCCUGAGAGAGGCAGCAGUCGGGAAUCUUACGCAAUGGUGGGGAGCCUGACAGAGCAAGCGGGCGUGAGUGAUGAAGGUGUUGGGAUCGGGAAGCCCUGUUAUUAGGGGAGAACAUAUGUGUGAGGGGCUGUGGAGAUAUUGACGGUACCUGAUCAGAAAGCCACGGCUAACUACGUG
rnacentral:rRNA from 1 species